rnacentral:rRNA from 1 species
GAUGAACGCUAGCGAUAGGCUUAACACAUGCAAGUCGCGGGGCAGCACAAGGUAGCUUGCUAUCUGGGUGGCGACCGGCGCACGGGUGCGUAACGCGUAUGCAACUUGCCCUAUACAGGAGGAUAACCCGUCGAAAGACGGACUAAUACUGCGUAUGCUCACAACUUGGCAUCAAGUGGUGAGGAAAGAAAUUCGGUAUAGGAUAGGCAUGCGUCCCAUUAGCUUGUUGGUGAGGUAACGGCUCACCAAGGCAACGAUGGGUAGGGGAACUGAGAGGUUUAUCCCCCACACUGGUACUGAGACACGGACCAGACUCCUACGGGAGGCAGCAGUGAGGAAUAUUGGUCAAUGGGCGCGAGCCUGAACCAGCCAAGUCGCGUGAAGGAUGACUGUCUUAUGGAUUGUAAACUUCUUUUAUACGGGAAUAACAAGAGUCACGUGUGACUCCCUGCAUGUACCGUAUGAAUAAGCAUCGGCUAACUCCGUG